rnacentral:rRNA from 1 species
UACGUAGGUACCGAGCGUUGUCCGGAUUUAUUGGGCGUAAAGCGAGCGCAGGUGGUUUAAUAAGUCUGAUGUAAAAGGCAGUGGCUCAACCAUUGUGUGCAUUGGAAACUGUUAGACUUGAGUGCAGUAGAGGAGAGUGGAAUUCCAUGUGUAGCGGUGAAAUGCGUAGAUAUAUGGAGGAACACCGGUGGCGAAAGCGGCUCUCUGGACUGUCACUGACACUGAGGCUCGAAAGCGUGGGUAGCAAACAGG